rnacentral:rRNA from 1 species
GACGAACGCUGGCGGCGUGCUUAACACAUGCAAGUCGAACGGAAAGGCCCUGCUUUUGUGGGGUGCUCGAGUGGCGAACGGGUGAGUAACACGUGAGUAACCUGCCCUUGACUUUGGGAUAACUUCAGGAAACUGGGGCUAAUACCCGAUAGGAGCUCCUGCUGCAUGGUGGGGGUUGGAAAGUUUCGGCGGUUGGGGAUGGACUCGCGGCUUAUCAGCUUGUUGGUGGGGUAGUGGCUUACCAAGGCUUUGACGGGUAGCCGGCCUGAGAGGGUGACCGGCCACAUUGGGACUGAGAUACGGCCCAGACUCCUACGGGAGGCAGCAGUGGGGAAUAUUGCACAAUGGGCGGAAGCCUGAUGCAGCAACGCCGCGUGCGGGAUGACGGCCUUCGGGUUGUAAACCGCUUUCGCCUGUGACGAAGCGUGAGUGACGGUAAUGGGUAAAGAAGCACCGGCUAACUACGUG